rnacentral:rRNA from 1 species
AUUGAACGCUGGCGGCAGGCCUAACACAUGCAAGUCGAACGAGUGGCGGACGGGUGAGUAAUGUCUGGGAAACUGCCUGAUGGAGGGGGAUAACUACUGGAAACGGUAGCUAAUACCGCAUACCAUCAGAUGUGCCCAGAUGGGAUUAGCUAGUAGGUGGGGUAAUGGCUCACCUAGGCGACGAUCCCUAGCUGGUAUGAGAGGAUGACCAGCGACACUGGAACUGGGACACGGUCCAGACUCCUACGGGAGGGAGCAGUGGGGAAUAUGGCGCAGUGGGGGGAAGCCUGGUGCAGCCAUGCCGCGUGUGUGAAGAAGGCCUUCGGGUUGUAAAGCACUUUCAGCGAGGGGGCGUUACUCGCAGAAGAAGCACCGGCUAACUCCGUGCCAGCAGCCGCGGUAAUAC